ACUCCUACGGGAGGCAGCAGUAGGGAAUCUUCCACAAUGGACGAAAGUCUGAUGGAGCAACGCCGCGUGAACGAUGAAGGCUUUCGGGUCGUAAAGUUCUGUUGUAAGGGAAGAACAAGUGCCGCAGGCAAUGGCGGCACCUUGACGGUACCUUGCGAGAAAGCCACGGCUAACUACGUGCCAGCAGCCGCGGUAAUACGUAGGUGGCAAGCGUUGUCCGGAAUUAUUGGGCGUAAAGCGCGCGCAGGCGGCCUCUUAAGUCUGAUGUGAAACGCCCCCCGGCUCAACCGGGGAGGGCCAUUGGAAACUGGGAGGCUUGAGUAUAGGAGAGAAGAGUGGAAUUCCACGUGUAGCGGUGAAAUGCGUAGAGAUGUGGAGGAACACCAGUGGCGAAGGCGACUCUUUGGCCUAUAACUGACGCUGAGGCGCGAAAGCGUGGGAGCAAACAGGAUUAGAUACCCCUGGUAGCGACUGA
rnacentral:rRNA from 1 species